rnacentral:rRNA from 1 species
GACGAACGCUGGCGGCGUGCUUAACACAUGCAAGUCGAACGGUGAAGCGCCUUCCUUUUUGGUGGGUGUGGUUGAGUGGCGAACGGGUGAGUAACACGUGAGUAACCUGCACCCUUCUUCUGGAUAACCGCAUGAAGGUGUGGCUAGGACGGGAUAUUCUGCGUCUUUGGCGUGAUGGGUCUGUGAAAGAGAUUGGUGCGGUGGGGGAGGGUCUCGCGGCUGAUCAGCUUGUGGUGGCGGUGAUGGCCUACCAAGGCGGGGAGGGCUAGCCGGCCUGAGAGGGUGGGCGGUCACAAGGGGACGGAGAGACGGACCGGAAUCGUGCGAGAGGCAGCAGUGGGGAAUAUUGCACAAUGGGCGAAAGCCUGAUGCAGCGACGCCGCGUGAGGGAGGGAGGCCUUCGGGUUGAGAACCUCUUUCGGCAGUGAAGCAGGCCUGCCUCGUGUGUGGGUGGGUUGACGGUAGCUGGAUAAGAAGCGACGGCUAACUACGUG